ACAUGACUCUCGACAAUGGAUAUCUCGGCUCUUGCAUCGAUGAAGAGCGCAGCGAAAUGCGAUACGUGGUGCGAAUUGCAGAAUCCCGUGAACCAUCGAGUCUUUGAACGCAAGUUGCGCCCGAGGCCAACCGGCUAAGGGCACGCCUGCCUGGGCGUCAA
rnacentral:rRNA from 1 species